rnacentral:rRNA from 1 species
UACGAAGGGGACUAGCGUUGUUCGGAAUCACUGGGCGUAAAGCGCCCGUAGGCGGAUUCGUAAGUCAGGGGUGAAAUCCCGGGGCUCAACCUCAGAACUGCCUUUGAUACUGCGGGUCUUGAGUCCGAUAGAGGUGGGUGGAAUUCCUAGUGUAGAGGUGAAAUUCGUAGAUAUUAGGAAGAACACCGGUGGCGAAGGCGGCCCACUGGAUCGGUACUGACGCUGAGGUGCGAAAGCGUGGGGAGCAAACAGG